GUAAAUCACCUGAGAUGAGUACGAUUACCUGCUGAACUUAAGCAUAUCAGUAAGCAGAG
rnacentral:rRNA from 1 species